rnacentral:lncRNA from 1 species
GCCCAGAGCUCGCCAUUGGGCCUCGCUCCCGGGGUCCCGCGCGCCGGCCGUGCUGAUUGGCCGCUGGGGCUUCAUUCACGGCCCCCCUGCCGUCCGCGUACACACUCACGCCCCGGGGGCGCGGCCGCCACGUGGGGAGUGGCGCGGGGGUGGCACUGGGACCGCACCCCCUCUCGUCCUGGCUGCGUGGGCCCAGCUUUCCCCCCUCGCUGGAGACUCCGAGCCCGGCGGGUCCCACACUCCACGCGAGCUGAAUUCCCGCCCGUCUUUGGCAGGGGCGGCCGGAGGCGGCGGCGAGGAUGGCGGGCUCCGGGAGGCGCUCGGGCUCCGAGAAGCCGCUCAGCCCCGCGCUCCUCCCUCCGCAGUGCCGCUGCAGGCGGGCCGGGAUUCCGCGGGUCUCGGGAGGCUGCGAGCGAGCGGCGGCGCGGGUCCCCAGCUCGGUUCCAGAGCGGCUGCUCGCCUGGGCCGCCUCGCCUCCCGCAGCUUCCAGCGGGCACGGAGCUCUCCUCCGCGCGCCUCUCCGGCCCGUCUCGUUUUCCCCCUCCUUCCGCUAGACCCAGUGCCGCAACUCCGCCGACCUCCGCGGCCCUGAGAGCGCGUCGGCCGCGGGCAGAGUCAGACCCGCUUCACGCCUCGCGCAGGCUCCCCUUCUCCCGGGCACCGCGGCGCAGGACUAAUGGCUGACCUGGGGCAGAGAGAGCGACAUGUCCUGUGUGGUCCUGGGGCAGUGUUUGAGCCAGUGCAAAGAUGCCGCAAGGAGGCAGAUUUUGGCUCAGUUCCGGGAAGAACUUUGCAACAAUUGCAGAUGUUUUAACCGUGAAAGAGGCAGUGAAGGAAUUCCAGUCCCCAGAGACCUCAAGUGGAGUGUGGACUUGUCAGGGAUGCUGCAGAAGGGAACCAGGCUGCAGGAACAGCAGCUGGAGACGCCCACAGCCCUAAUUGCUUUUCUGUACGAAGAGAACGUCGUCCUCCCUCCAGCUCUGCGUCUUCCAUUCAUGGAGUGCCGGUGAAGGGUGGCCCCACGGCCGGCUGGAAGACCCGCUAGCUCGGACUUCGGAGCCCCCCGCCCCAGCUCAACUGCUUGUCUGCGGACGGUCCCUUCUGCCAUUGCUGGACCUUUCCUGGGAUGUGACACUGCUCUUCCUCCCGUCUGGGUUCUGAUUCCAGCCUUCCCCAGCUGGCCCACCCUGCUCAGUCCCAGGCUCAUCCCCAGGCAGCCUCCCCCUGGAUGUGGUCCCUCUCCGGUGCUGGCUGCAAAUGUCUCUCCGGUUCAUCCUGCAGGGCCUGGGGCAGCGUCACUCCUGUCUGCCCAGGUUCCCUGCCCGCAGUGGUGCUUGGAACAUGAGCGCUGAUGCCUGACUCUGGGGAGAAAUGAGGUGCCCCCG